AUUGAACGCUGGCGGCAUGCUUUACACAUGCAAGUCGAGCGGCAGCGCGUCCCCGUAAGGGGAUGGCGGCGAGCGGCGAACGGGUGAGUAAUGCAUCGGAACGUGUCCCGUAGAGGGGGAUAGCCCGGCGAAAGCCGGAUUAAUACCGCAUAUGCUCUACGGAGGAAAGCGGGGGACUCGCAAGGGCCUCGCGCUAUGGGAGCGGCCGAUGUCCGAUUAGCUUGNGGCGGGUAAUGGCCCACCAAGGCGACGAUCGGUAGCUGGUCUGAGAGGAUGAUCAGCAACACUGGGACUGAGACACGGCCCAGACUCCUACGGGAGGCAGCA
rnacentral:rRNA from 1 species